AGCCACUUACUCAUUCUUCCCAAUGCUUGUCGCUGCUAUCCUAAAUAUAGGGUAGUGUGCCAACGGGAGAGGCUCGGGAGCGAGCCGGGGUGCAGGGAACGCCACCGCCGUGUCGGCAGAGCCGUGCUGCUCCCAGCCCGUGCUGCCUGCUUGCUGCAGGCUUUGUGCUGCUUGGGGAGCUGCCACGUGGCUCACACCGAGCUGAGUGCUGCGGGGCCGCGCUCUGCUCCUCUGGCUGCUGCAGGGCCUGAGGGUGGGCAGUGGGGGACACCGGGAUCCCCGCCGGCUUCGGCUGUGAUAGGCACAGCCAGAACUGGCUCAGACCUGACCAUAGCUUAUCUGCCACGGCCGGCUGCUCUGGAGGAAUUCCUGCACGUCUUCUGGCGGCAGAACUUCGCUCCGGCAGCGGGGGGACGUCGGAGGGAAUGCUGCGUCCUGGUUCGUGCCAUAGAGAGAGGCGCUGCGGUGCUUUGCACCUGAGCCCGGGGUCCCCUCAGCUCUGCUGGAGGAGCAGCAGGAGCGGUGUGAGCUGCCUCUCCGCGUCCCGUCAGCUGAGGAAUAGCGUGGAGGAAUGAAUUCCAGUGAGUUGGAUGAGGAAAAUGUAAACUCUGCGUUCUCGUCGGGCAAACAGCAGUCGUGUAAAUAAACGUCUCUGGGAUUCCUUGUGGUGCUCAUCGACUGCCCG
ensembl:lncRNA